GCUGGCGGCGGCGGGAGCAGGCGGGCUCGUAGGCGGCGCCGCAGCCCUAGCCGGUCCGGCUUGGCGGCGUGCGGGUCCGACGCUGACCUGAUCCCUUAGUGCUCUGAUCCCGCACCAGGCGUCCGGCGGCGCGGACAGGUUCCGGAGAGUUUGCCCUGGAGCGCGGGUUACUCUGUGGAAUGAGCCCCACGAGAUCAAGAAAACAUUGAAACUCCAUGGAGAAAUAGACCUUACAGUCUUUGGAUUCAGACAUGAAGAGAAACACAGCCGUCUGAACUGGUCAUGAAAGCCAAACAAGUCUUCUUUUCUGUCCUGCUGUUUGGGACAGCAGGGCUUCUGCUCUUCAUGUACUUGCAAGCAUGGG
rnacentral:lncRNA from 1 species